rnacentral:lncRNA from 1 species
UCUUUUCGCUUUUGCGGCUUUGGAACCACAGAAGCGGAGCCGCAGAAGUGAUGGAGGAACUUUGGGCAGGAGUCGCAAGAGAGAAGGGAUUUACGCAGAUGCAGAGUCACUUCUGCGAUGAAAGAACCGCAGAAGCAGAAAUUGGGAAGCUUAAGAAACCGCAGAAGCAGUUGUUUUUCCACAAAAGCAGUACUGCAAAAGUAGAAAUGAUUGUUUAGAAAUAGGAUAAUCUGAGGGUUUAUUUCAAAAGUUAGAAAAUCAAUUGGGAGCUCGGGAGAAGACGAUUUUGGAUGAAUUUUGAAGAGAAGAUCAGUGGGUAAUGUUUCUUUAACCUCAUUUAGUUGUUUUCUAUCAAUAUCUUGUUAAAUCCACCAUUAGAAUUUUGAAUUCAAGGUCAAAUUUGUGUAAAAUUGGAUGAAACUUCUUAGACUUAAUUAUUGUGUUUUUAAUGGGCAUUUUACCUCUGAUUUGGGAGAUUUUUAUAUGGUUAGACUUGUGAGAGUACAAGGGUUCUGAAAAUGUUAAAUUCAUCUAGUUCCGAGAUGUUGGCCCGAGGGUCAUUUUGGUUAUUUUACCUAAUGUUGCGUUUUAGCUUUAAAUUAAGUAGUGGAAUCAGUUUCUUGAGAUGCUAUUUACAAUGUGUGAUUUAAUUGAAUAGAAUUUGGGCCAUUUGAGGUCGAGUGCUCGUGGCAAGAAUGUGGUUGCUAGUUGAUUUUAUGAAUUUGAAUUCAAGGUCAAAAUUGGGGAAAAUUGGAUGAAACUUCUUAGACUUAAUUAUUGUGUUUGAGUGGGAAUUUGACCUUCGAUUUGGCAGAUUUUUAUAUGGUUAGAAUCAUAAGAGUACAAGGGUUCUGAAAAUGUAAAAAUUAUUCGAUUCCGAGAUGUUGGCCUAAGGGCAUUUUGGUCAAUUUACCUAAUUUCGCACUUUUAGCUUUGAAUUUAAUUGUAGAAUCAGCCGCUUGAAAUAUUAUUUACAAUGUGUUAUUUAAUUGAAUAGAUUUAGGCCAUUUGGAGUUGAG